rnacentral:rRNA from 1 species
UUUAUUUAAGAGUUUGAUCCUGGCUCAGGAUGAACGCUGGCUGUGUGCCUAAUACAUGCAUGUCGAGCGAGGUUCUUCGGAACCUAGCGGCGAAUGGGUGAGUAACACGUGCUUAAUCUACCCUUCAGAUUGGAAUACCCAAUGGAAACAUUGGCUAAUGCCGGAUACGCAUGGAAUCGCAUGAUUCCGUUGUGAAAGGGGCCUUUAAAGCCCCACUGAAGGAUGAGGGUGCGGAACAUUAGUUAGUUGGUAGGGUAAUGGCCUACCAAGACUAUGAUGUUUAGCCGGGUCGAGAGACUGAACGGCCACAUUGGGACUGAGAUACGGCCCAAACUCCUACGGGAGGCAGCAGUAGGGAAUAUUCCACAAUGAGCGAAAGCUUGAUGGAGCGACACAGCGUGCACGAUGAAGGUCUUCGGAUUGUAAAGUGCUGUUAUAAGGGAAGAACACUACAUUGAGGAAAUGCUUUGUAGCUGACGGUACCUUGUCAGAAAGCGAUGGCUAACUAUGUGCCAGCAGCCGCGGUAAUACAUAGGUCGCAAGCGUUAUCCGGAAUUAUUGGGCGUAAAGCGUUCGUAGGCUGUUUAUUAAGUCUGGAGUCAAAUCCCGGGGCUCAACCCCGGCUCGCUUUGGAUACUGAUAAACUAGAGUUGGAUAGAGGUAAGCGGAAUUCCAUGUGAAGCGGUGAAAUGCGUAGAUAUAUGGAAGAACACCAAAGGCGAAGGCAGCUUACUGGGUCUAUACUGACGCUGAGGGACGAAAGCGUGGGGAGCAAACAGGAUUAGAUACCCUGGUAGUCCACGCCGUAAACGAUGAUCAUUAGUCGGUGGAGAGUUCACUGACGCAGCUAACGCAUUAAAUGAUCCGCCUGAGUAGUAUGCUCGCAAGAGUGAAACUUAAAGGAAUUGACGGGGACCCGCACAAGCGGUGGAGCAUGUGGUUUAAUUUGAAGAUACACGGAGAACCUUACCCACUCUUGACAUCUUCCGCAAAGCUAUAGAGAUAUAGUGGAGGCUAACGGAAUGACAGAUGGUGCAUGGUUGUCGUCAGCUCGUGUCGUGAGAUGUUUGGUCAAGUCCUGCAACGAGCGCAACCCCUAUCUUUAGUUACUAACGAGUCAUGUCGAGGACUCUAGAGAUACUGCCUGGGUAACCGGGAGGAAGGUGGGGAUGACGUCAAAUCAUCAUGCCUCUUACGAGUGGGGCCACACACGUGCUACAAUGGUCGGUACAAAGAGAAGCAAUAUGGCGACAUGGAGCAAAUCUCAAAAAGCCGAUCUCAGUUCGGAUUGGAGUCUGCAAUUCGACUCCAUGAAGUCGGAAUCGCUAGUAAUCGCAGAUCAGCUAUGCUGCGGUGAAUACGUUCUCGGGUCUUGUACACACCGCCCGUCACACCAUGGGAGCUGGUAAUACCCAAAGUCGGUUUGCUAACCUCGGAGGCGACCGCCUAAGGUAGGACUGGUGACUGGGGUGAAGUCGUAACAAGGUAUCCCUACGAGAACGUGGGGAUGGAUCACCUCCUUUCUA